rnacentral:tRNA from 1 species
ACUAUUUUGGCAGAUUAGUGCAAUAAAUUUAGAAUUUAUUUAUGUGAAUUUUUUCACAAAUAGUA